rnacentral:rRNA from 1 species
GACGAACGCUGGCGGCGUGCUUAACACAUGCAAGUCGAACGGAAAGGCCUGCUUUCCCUUGUGGAUUGCGGGUACUCGAGUGGCGAACGGGUGAGUAACACGUGAGUGAUCUGCCCCCAACUUGGGUAUAAGCCUGGGAAACUGGGUCUAAUUCCCGAUAGGACUGCAGGGUGGUGCCUGUGGUGGAAAACGAUUUUCUAGUGGUUGGGGAUGAGCUCGCGGCCUAUCAGCUUGUUGGUGGGGUAAUGGCCUACCAAGGCGGCGACGGGUAGCCGGCCUGAGGGGGUGGACGGCCACAUUGGGACUGAGAUACGGCCCGGACUCCUACGGGAGGCAGCAGUGGGGAAUAUUGCACAAUGGGCGGAAGCCUGAUGCAGCGACGCCGCGUGGGGGAUGACGGCCUUCGGGUUGUAAACUCCUUUCGACCGCGAGGAAGCCACCUGGUUGGAAGGGUGGUGACGGUAGUGGUAGAAGAAGCACCGGCUAACUACGUG